rnacentral:rRNA from 1 species
AUUGAACGCUGGCGGCAGGCUUAACACAUGCAAGUCGAGCGGAGUGAUGGUGCUUGCACUAUCACUUAGCGGCGGACGGGUGAGUAAUGCUUAGGAAUCUGCCUAUUAGUGGGGGACAACAUCUCGAAAGGGAUGCUAAUACCGCAUACGUCCUACGGGAGAAAGCAGGGGAUCACUUGUGACCUUGCGCUAAUAGAUGUGCCUAAGUCGGAUUAGCUAGUUGGUGGGGUAAAGGCCUACCAAGGCGACGAUCUGUAGCGGGUUUGAGAGGAUGAUCCGCCACACGGGGACGGAGACACGGCCCAGACUCCUACGGGAGGCAGCAGUGGGGAAUAUUGGACAAUGGGGGGAACCCUGAUCCAGCCAUGCCGCGUGUGUGAAGAAGGCCUUAUGGUUGUAAAGCACUUUAAGCGAGGAGGAGGCUCUUUUGGUUAAUACCCAAGAUGAGUGGACGUUACUCGCAGAAUAAGCACCGGCUAACUCUGUGCCAGCCGCCGCCGUAA